rnacentral:rRNA from 1 species
UACGUAGGUGGCAAGCGUUGUCCGGAUUUACUGGGCGUAAAGAGCGCGCAGGCGGUCGUCCAAGUCGCGUGUGAAAGCCCCCGGCUCAACUGGGGAGGGUCACGCGAUACUGGUCGACUCGAAGGCAGGAGAGGGUAGUGGAAUUCCCGGUGUAGUGGUGGAAUGCGCAGAUAUCAGGAGGAACACCAAUAGCGAAGGCAGCUCGCUGGGACGGUAUUGACGCUAAGGCGCGAAAGCGUGGGGAGCAAACAGG